AGCCGAUGCCUCAGUCAGUGGGUGAACGCUUGGCCUUCCCUAUUUUUAAGCAAGUUUACCUGUUCUUCCGUUUACCCACACAGAGGCCCGGUCAUAACGAUGGCAUAACCACAGCUGUUCUGUUCACUUUAUGGAAACGCAGAGCCACUCCUGGCCAACCUGUUUUCAGCCUGGCCACAGAGACCCAGCGACCUUGGACGUGAGGAGCCACCUGCUGGGGUCACCCAGUGGAAGUGACCUCUCACCCGGACCAGGCCCUCAAUGAAAACUGUUGUUCUCUGCUCUCUGCAGUUUUUUGCAUCUCAGUAAACGGUGCCUGCAUCUCCCCAGCUCGGCCAGGAACCUGGGAUCAUCUUCCCACUCCAGCUCCCCUUCAGUGUGGGGUGGGGUCUCUUCAUCCACAUCCCUGGACCCCACUCCCUACCCUCCGUGUCUGCUGCCCACACUCAGUCGCUAGCCCCACUCCCGGUGGCAGUGACCACUGAGCUGCCCGCACCCCUCCCCAGCUGCCUGCUCCCCCUGACAGUCCACCCUUUAUCUACACGGUCCCCGGAGUAGCUCUAAGAGUACAGCUCGUUCAGGGCACUCUCCUGCUUGAAGUGCCCCGCUGGCCUCCUUGUCAUUCCCCUGGUCCAGAAGCGCCCGCAUGACGCCAGAUCUGCGGGGCCUGAAGAACAUUCCUCAGAACAGAGCUGUUCCUGCAGGGCCCAGGGGUCCCCGACUUGUGGCAGGAGGAGGGAGAGUUCCAGCUCCCUUUACACAUGGGGAUGGCAGGAAAGUUCUGUCUCCGGCUUCAGUGUGCGUCACCACGGAUGAACCAACCCCUUCGUGGAGCUUUGGGCUGCACAGCACGUGGCAGGAAGUCUUCCA
rnacentral:lncRNA from 1 species